ACAAUGCGGAACAAUGUUUUGCAAUUGGAUUGAGAACAACGUACAAACCUUAUCGAUAAACAAUUGGAGGGCAAGUCUGGUGCCAGCAGCCGCGGUAAUUCCAGCUCCAAUAGCGUAUAUUAACGUUGUUGCAGUUAAAAAGCUCGUAGUUGAAAUGAAGGGUAGUUGUGUAAUGAAUACAUUCGUGUAUUUUGUUAUUCAAGUACCCUCCUUCUAAAUUCGAUAUAUGAGUAUUAAUUUACUUGUAUAUGGUUUUAGACAUUUACUGUGAGAAAAUUAGAGUGUUCAAAGCAGGCAUUUGCUUGAAUAUAUUAGCAUGGAAUAAUCAUGUAUGAUUUUCAUGAUGUAUUUGAUUGGUUUGGUUGAUGAGAAUAAGAUUAAAAGGGACAGUUGGGGGUAUUCAUAUUCAAUAGUCAGAGGUGAAAUUCUCGGAUUUAUGGAA
rnacentral:rRNA from 1 species